GGGUUGUGAGGUUAAGCGACUAAGCGUACACGGUGGAUGCCUAGGCAGUCAGAGGCGAUGAAGGGCGUGCUAAUCUGCGAUAAGCGUCGGUAAGCUGAUAUGAAGCGUUAUACCCGACGAUACCCGAAUGGGGAAACCCAGUGUGUUUCGACACACUAUCAUGACAUGAAUACAUAGUGUCAUGAGGCGAACCGGGGGAACUGAAACAUCUCAGUACCCCGAGGAAAAGAAAUCAACCGAGAUUCCCCCAGUAGCGGCGAGCGAACGGGGAGGAGCCCAGAACCUGAAUCAGUUUGUGUGUUAGUGGAAGCGUCUGGAAAGUCGCACAGUAAAGGGUGAUAGUCCCGUACACAAAAAUGCACAAGCUGUGAGUUCGAUGAGUAGGGCGGGACACGUGACAUCCUGUCUGAAUAUGGGGGGACCAUCCUCCAAGGCUAAAUACUCCUGACUGACCGAUAGUGAACCAGUACCGUGAGGGAAAGGCGAAAAGAACCCCGGCGAGGGGAGUGAAAUAGAACCUGAAACCGUGUACGUACAAGCAGUGGGAGCCUACUUGUUAGGUGACUGCGUACCUUUUGUAUAAUGGGUCAGCGACUUAUAUUCUGUAGCAAGGUUAACCGUAUAGGGGAGCCGCAGGGAAACCGAGUCUUAACUGGGCGUUAAGUUGCAGGGUAUAGACCCGAAACCCGGUGAUCUAGCCAUGGGCAGGUUGAAGGUUGGGUAACACUAACUGGAGGACCGAACCGACUAAUGUUGAAAAAUUAGCGGAUGACUUGUGGCUGGGGGUGAAAGGCCAAUCAAACCGGGAGAUAGCUGGUUCUCCCCGAAAGCUAUUUAGGUAGCGCCUCGUGAAUUCAUCUUCGGGGGUAGAGCACUGUUUCGGCUAGGGGGUCAUCCCGACUUACCAACCCGAUGCAAACUACGAAUACCGAAGAAUGUUAUCACGGGAGACACACGGCGGGUGCUAACGUUCGUCGUGAAGAGGGAAACAACCCAGACCGCCAGCUAAGGUCCCAAAGUCAUGGUUAAGUGGGAAACGAUGUGGGAAGGCACAGACAGCCAGGAUGUUGGCUUAGAAGCAGCCAUCAUUUAAAGAAAGCGUAAUAGCUCACUGGUCGAGUCGGCCUGCGCGGAAGAUGUAACGGGGCUAAACCAUGCACCGAAGCUGCGGCAGCGACACUUAGGUGUUGUUGGGUAGGGGAGCGUUCUGUAAGCCGUCGAAGGUGGCCUGUGAGGGCUGCUGGAGGUAUCAGAAGUGCGAAUGCUGACAUAAGUAACGAUAAUGCGGGUGAAAAACCCGCACGCCGGAAGACCAAGGGUUCCUGUCCAACGUUAAUCGGGGCAGGGUGAGUCGACCCCUAAGGCGAGGCUGAAAAGCGUAGUCGAUGGGAAACAGGUUAAUAUUCCUGUACUCGGUGUUACUGCGAAGGGGGGACGGAGAAAGCUAGGUUAUCCGGGCGACGGUUGUCCCGGUUUAAGCGUGAAGGUGGAUGACUUUGGUAAAUCCGGGUCGUCAUUAACACUGAGGCGUGAUGACGAGUCACUACGGUGAUGAAGUAACUAAUGCUACGCUUCCAGGAAAAGCCUCUAAGCUCCAGGUAACAUCAAAUCGUACCCCAAACCGACACAGGUGGUCAGGUAGAGAAUACUCAGGCGCUUGAGAGAACUCGGGUGAAGGAACUAGGCAAAAUGGUGCCGUAACUUCGGGAGAAGGCACGCUGAUGGUAAGUGAAGUGACUUGCUCAUGGAGCUGAAAUCAGUCGAAGAUACCAGCUGGCUGCAACUGUUUAAUAAAAACACAGCACUGUGCAAACACGAAAGUGGACGUAUACGGUGUGACGCCUGCCCGGUGCCGGAAGGUUAAUUGAUGGGGUCAGCCGCAAGGCGAAGCUCUUGAUCGAAGCCCCGGUAAACGGCGGCCGUAACUAUAACGGUCCUAAGGUAGCGAAAUUCCUUGUCGGGUAAGUUCCGACCUGCACGAAUGGCGUAAUGAUGGCCAGGCUGUCUCCACCCGAGACUCAGUGAAAUUGAACUCGCUGUGAAGAUGCAGUGUACCCGCGGCAAGACGGAAAGACCCCGUGAACCUUUACUAUAGCUUGACACUGAACCUUGAGCCUUGAUGUGUAGGAUAGGUGGGAGGCUUUGAAGCGUGGACGCCAGUCUGCGUGGAGCCAACCUUGAAAUACCACCCUUUAAUGUUUGAUGUUCUAACGUGGACCCGUAAUCCGGGUUGCGGACAGUGUCUGGUGGGUAGUUUGACUGGGGCGGUCUCCUCCCAAAGCGUAACGGAGGAGCACGAAGGUUAGCUAAUCCUGGUCGGACAUCAGGAGGUUAGUGCAAAGGCAUAAGCUAGCUUGACUGCGAGAGUGACAGCUCGAGCAGGUGCGAAAGCAGGUCUUAGUGAUCCGGUGGUUCUGAAUGGAAGGGCCAUCGCUCAACGGAUAAAAGGUACUCCGGGGAUAACAGGCUGAUACCGCCCAAGAGUUCAUAUCGACGGCGGUGUUUGGCACCUCGAUGUCGGCUCAUCACAUCCUGGGGCUGAAGUAGGUCCCAAGGGUAUGGCUGUUCGCCAUUUAAAGUGGUACGCGAGCUGGGUUUAGAACGUCGUGAGACAGUUCGGUCCCUAUCUGCCGUGGGCGUUGGAAGAUUGAGAGGGGUUGCUCCUAGUACGAGAGGACCGGAGUGAACGCACCACUGGUGUACGGGUUGUGAUGCCAAUUGCAUUGCCCGGUAGCUAAGUGCGGAAGAGAUAACCGCUGAAAGCAUCUAAGCGGGAAACUUGCCUCGAGAUGAGUCUUCCCUGGGCACUAGAUGCCCCUGAAGGGCCGUUGAAGACGACGACGUAGAUAGGCUGGGUGUGUAAGCGUAGCGAUACGUUGAGCUAACCAGUACUAAUGACCCGAGAGGCUUAACCUUACAACACCGAAGGUGUUU
rnacentral:rRNA from 1 species